AACCCAUUUCAAUCUCUCUCUCUCUCUCUCUACUCUCUCUCCAUUCUUCACUUUCAACAGCAUCAAACAAGAAAUCCGAGCUGUACCGUCUUCUUUUUGUCAAUCGAUCGUCUUCAACAGCAUCCAAUGGCAUAGAAAGGAAGCUGAUGUGUCCAUUGAAUUGAUUUCGUUUAUCUGUUGUUAACCCCUGUUCUGGCAAGCUUCUUCUUCUUCUUUGAACUCUGCCCAUGUUUUCUUAUUUUUGACUUCUGAUUCACUCGCAGUAAAGGAUGAAUCAUGCCAAUCAAAACCAAUAAGUGAACUUACACUAGAGAGAUAGGGUUUAUAAAGUUUUUUGCUGUUUAUGAUAGAAAUCCUAUGAGAUUGGAUAAUCUGCUUCUCCUUGGUGCGAUAUAUUAUCAGGUGUUUGCUUAAAUGCCCCCCUUUGCUUAAAUGAUACCGAGUUCACCAUCUCAUACUCUGAGAUCUGUUGAGAAGUCAGUAAGAGAUAUUCGACAUGUAGAAGGAGAUCUGUUGAGAAGUCAGUAAGAGAUAUUCGAUAAUGCAGAAGUUGUGAGGGUUGAUGCUGACAACAUUAAAGAAAGUUUGGAUAAGAGCUUAAAGCAUCUGAAUAUUGAUUACAUCGAUUUAACUACAGUUCAUUGGUGAGUUUUAAAUCCUUGAAAUUUAAUCCCUUAACCAUAUAACAACCAUCUAUUAUGAGUUUUAAAUCUGUCUGUCAUAAAGAAAUCGCCUUCGACUUCUCCCUUCCAGAUUGAGACUGCGCUUAGGCUUUGGAAUUGGAUAUGACAGCCCAUUGAGCCCGUAUAUUAAUUUUGGUAUUGUUUAUGGUUUCUUGAAUCCGGUUAUACAUUUUUUACUAUUUCUUUUAAAAUUAUGUAGAUCAAUUUAAUCAUAAUAAUUUAGUAAAAGUAUGUAGAUCAAUUUAAUCAUAAUAAUUUCAACCUGUUGAGUCUUGGAGAUACACUCAAUGUAAACUGCUGCACCUAUAGUCUUCUUCAGUUCUUCACCCUGCAUAAAUUUGUUUUUUCAACCAUUAUUAGCUGAACGAUUCUUGAAACAUUUAAACAUGGUAUAAUUUGUACGUGUUAUAUUCAAAAAUCAUCUUUACUAUUUCCAAAUAUUUAGUACAAACCAACGAUUCAAACAAAAAAAGGUGGGUCAAGCCGCUAAAACUGACGGUUCUGGCUGACCCACCCAACCUGGUUAGUUUCGAUGUCGUUUUCAAAAACUAUAGGUAGCAGUUUGUCUUAUACAUCAUAUUUUAUGCAAAUUCUACGAGAAUGUGUUGUGGAUUUUAAAAACCAAAGGGGUGAAGUGCAUUUCUUAACGACUUAGCUGAGAAAUUGUGAUCGGUCUAACAUUUCGAUGAUCACUCAGGUAUUGUUUGUCUUCGUGUAGAUCUAAGAGAUUUCAAAAGCAAAACAAAUGGUUAUUUGUAAUAUAACUUACAUCCAAACAACUUAAUAACAUCAUAUACCGGACAUGUACAAACUAAACUUUAAGACUAAAAUUAUAUUCCAAGGGAUGUUAAACAAGUUGUUUGCACGUUGAGAAAUAAAACACGAUUUCUUUUUACAUAUUAAUACUUCAUUUAAAAAAUGAGAAGAAAGCGAGUAAAUGUAUGAAUAAGAGUUAAUCUACCAUGAGGUGAGGUAAUCAUUUUUUUCCUUGUAUUUCAAAGACAAAAAAUGGUUAGGAAUCAAAUUGUAUUUUAUGUUUGUAUGAAAUUGUUGAAAGAAAUGAUGUUACCUAAUUUGGUCCAACCGGCACAAUGGGAUAGUUGCGGCAUAGUGCGGUAGCUCUGAGAUCCACUGAAUGAAUGAAUGAAUGAGAAGAAUGUUUUCAUAGAUGGGUCUGCUAAUGAGAGAAAAAAGCCAUUAUAAAGACAUUUGCACCUCUGUAACUGAGUGGCCUGAGUCUGUUAUAAUCCUCCUGACCUGCAGUAUCCCAAAGGCCGAGACCGGGCACUGAAAUUAUCAAAGACUGUGAGCACAUAAUUCUACACACAAAAGAAAACAAUUUGCCUGUACAACAAAGUCAUAGAAGACAAUUUGCUUGGAGGACCACUUCCUCGAAAUCUUGGCCGUUUGUCCCACAUGAGAAGAUUCCUUGCUUCUGCAAAUAACUUUACAGGAACCAUACAAGAAUCGUAUGGCAGACUGAACUAUUUAGAAGGCUUAUUGCAAAGCUACAGGAUGACAAAAAAGUGUUAAGACUGUUUGACCAAGUCAAAAGAGGCUGUUUUACUUGAAGCCGAGAGGACCAUGCAACUUACAUUGGUCAAGGCAUCCAUGGUAGAUGAUCUCUAGAAUAAGAAUCAGGAAUUGAUGAAGCAAAUAGAAUUUUGCCAGGAGGAAAAUCAAAUAUUGGAUAAAAUGCAUCAUCAAAAAGUUGAUGAGGUGGAAAAGCUUACACAAACUGUACACGAGCUUGAAGAAGCUGUUCUUGCUGGUGGCGCAGCUGCAAACGCGUUCGGGACUAUCAACAGAAAGUUCAAGAAAUGAAUGUAAAAUAGAUACUUCUAUUCUUUAGUUGAUUAAAGUUUCUUCAUGUUCCUGCUGGUGGAAAAUUUCACCCGUUUACUUAUAAAUGGGUCGAGUGGGAUAUGCUUUGGUCAAACGUUAUAACUAACUGAUUUGGUGUCAGUUAUCAGUAGGAGGAAAAAAGACUCUAGACAGAGAGCUAGCGCAUGCAAAAGUUACAGCCAAUAGAGUGGCAACAGUUGUAGCUAACGAUUGGAAAGAUUCUAAUGAUAAGAUGAUGCCAGUUAAACAAUGGCUCAAAGAAAGACGGUUCUUGCAGGUAUAGUCUUCUAUAAUUCCAUAAACGUAUUGUUUAUAGUAAGGUAUACGGAUGGACCCUGUGCUUUCCAAAGGUACACAGAUGGUCCCCGACGGUUUCCAAAAGUACAAGGAUGGUCCCUUAGAUUUACACUUUGUACGAAAUGCAAGCUACAACACAGGAGGCACUGAACAUAAUGGAGGAAAAGCUUCGAAGAUUGAGGAUGAGACAAGCAAAUGUAGAGUCCAUGAUCCAAAACCAGAAUCCACUUCAGAAACUUCUUUGUCUGUAUCGAAUUCUGGUUUGAUUCGAAAAUUCUUAGAUCUGUAUUUCGAAUUCUUAGAUUUGUUUUUUGAAUGUUUUUUGGUUUAUACUAA